rnacentral:lncRNA from 1 species
ACAUGGUGGCUAGAUAUUGGAUAUACGGUGGCAAAAACAAGGUUCCCUGUCCUCAAGGGGUUUAUACUUUCCUAUGGCCAUAAAUAGGAAAACAAAAUAAAUGCAAGGCUCCUUCAAUUGCUCUUAUGUGGCCAGGACAACAAAGCUUUUACCAUGCAAGUUUCCCUCCUUUGGAAGUUCUACAGAUCAUCCUUCUUAUACUGGAGCACUCAGAACUGAAUACAAUACUACAGAUGUGAUCUGACCAAGGCAGAGGGUUAUGAAAACUUACCUGUUCCUGGAUAUCCUACCUCUAAAUGUUGCCUAAAGCCAAAAAUCACAUUGAUUUUUUUUUUGGUUUGUUGUGAACCUAUAUUGAACCUGCAGUCCUGUGUCUGGGAAGUUCAUUCCCUCCCCCUCCUGGAGAGUCAACCUCUCUGUCAAGAUUCCUCAAAUGUGAAUGCAGCCUUUGUGAACACCAAUAAAAGAGAGGGAACAGGGACUGACCUGGGCUUUUUGGAGGAACUCCAGGAAGGAGCAGACAGAUAAGGAGGGAAAGGAGGAAGUUAAUGGAAAAUAGGCACACAUGGUCAGGUACAUUCUGAUCUUUGAAGGAAGACUCCGCAGAGGGCAAUUACCAUGCUCUUCAAGUCUAAACUUCUCCAACUCUUUGAAUCUUCCCUUGUCAGAAACUGAAUGUACACUGAACACUAUCUUAAUAAUAAUGGAGGCAGUGAUGAGUAUUAACUUUUAAAAAGGAAAUUGAGUCCAAAGAAGGGCAGCCCAAAUCAUGAAGGAUCUUCAGAUAAAGCCAUAAGAGGAUCAAAUGAAUGAAUUUGUGUUAUUAGCUUAUAGAAGAAAAGACUCAAGGGGAACAUAGAUGUCUUCAAGUAUU